rnacentral:rRNA from 1 species
AUGGCUUGCUUUGUGCAAUACUGUUACGAUAUAGGACUUACGAAAAAACGCCCUAAACUCGAGAGGGCCCAGCCCAUAUACAACUCUAGUUAUACCAAGGAAAACCGAUGCAAUCCGCCUUCGGGCAAGGCGGCAAAGUUUAAUUGUGAUGGUGGCUUGUCAACCCUAGGAAACAAAGGUGCAGCGGGAGUGGUGUGUCGUGACAAGUUAGGCAAUUUUUUGGGCGCUUCAGCAUUGGUCUUCAAUGGUCUCACGGACCCGACAAGUCUUGAGGCGCAUGCAUGUAGCGAAGCACUAGCCCUAGCCCGGGAUUUGAAUCUGCAAGAUCUUGUCAUUGCUUCAGACAGUGCAGAAGUUAUCGCUAAUAUCAAAUCUGCAGGAUCCCCACCUUAUGCUCCUAUCCUUAGAGAGAUUCAAGUUAGUAGCAACAUUUUUUCUUCUGUUGAUUUUCGUUUUGAAAGUAGAUGUAAUAAUUUUGAGGCCCACAUGCUAGUUAAGGGAGCUGCAUCUCUCGCGGUGGGCCGCCAUGUGUGGCUAGGAGUUUUGCCAGAUAUUGCCUAUAUUCCGGAGGGCGUGAACUUUUAA